CAUCAGAGACUCUUUGUUUUAACAACAAGAAGGUUAUUGAAAA
rnacentral:sRNA from 1 species